rnacentral:rRNA from 1 species
AGUGAACGCUGGCGGUAGGCCUAACACAUGCAAGUCGAACGGCAGCACAGUAAGAGCUUGCUCUUACGGGUGGCGAGUGGCGUACGUGUGAGGAAUACAUCGUAAUCUACUUUUUCGUGGGGGAUAACGUAGGUAAACUUACUCUAAUACCGCAUACGACCUACGGUUGUAAGCAUUGGAUCUUCGGACCUUGCGCGAUUGAAUGAGCCGAUGUCGGAUUAGCUAGUUGGCGGGGUAAAGGCCCACCAAGGCGACGAUCCGUAGCUGGUCUGAGAGGAUGAUCAGCCACACUGGAACUGAGACACGGUCCAGAGUCCUACGGGAGGCAGCAGUGGGGAAUAUUGGACAAUGGGCGCAAGCCUGAUCCAGCGAUACCGAGUGGGUGAAGAAGGCCUUCGGGUUGUGAAGCCCUUUUGUUGGGAAAGAAAAGCAGCAGGUUAAUACCACGCUGUUCUGACGGUACCCAAAGAAUAAGCACCGGCUAACUUCGUG